GAAACCCAAGGGGUAAGCCCCAAGGGACUAAGAUUAGAACUAGAUGUCCUAGAACCGAAUUAGGAGACCGUGGGAACCUGUUAAACUAAGAUUCGGAU